GAAUUGUGUGAAGGUAGUAAGUUAUCUCAAUUGUUUGUUCACAGUCAAUAACAGAUGGAACUCCAUGUUCUACUCUUUACCCCCUUUUCCCUACUGCACUUGACUUGUCUUAG
rnacentral:Y_RNA from 1 species